AAAAAGUUUAGGAAAGAUAAUCUUCGACCAACGUCCACUGACAAAACCAGAGACUCUCUCUGACAAAUGUAUAAAAGUUUCUGUAAGUUUGGUCACUGGCCUUGACUCAUUCCAUAUUGUUGAAACCACAGUGGGUUCUUCAUGGACCAAGGUUGCGUGGUCCUUCUCUGAGGCACCCUGGACCUUUGUAGACUGCUGUGCUGCAGAAAGACCUCUGUCAUUA
rnacentral:misc_RNA from 1 species